GUUAACACUCUUAUCCAUUGCCAAUUCCGACCACCAUCUUCACAUUAAUAAGAAGAAAAGAAGAUGUUUUUUUCAUGUCAAAAAUACAACCUUUACAUUCCUUGCUCUUCUGUUCCACUCUGCAACCCAAGAUGCUGCAUUGUCAUGUGCCAAAACCCACAUGCCCCAAAUGAACAACAACCCAUUCUCCGCAAACACAAUUCCAAAUCCACAGCCUUUCUCCUUCACCACCUUUCCCACAAGGAUGAGGAUGAACAUGAUUCACAUGAACAUCAUCACCACUCUCACCAACUCACUCCAAAAUCCAGUGACCUGCAAGACCCUAUGCCCCAUGAAGAAAAGGUGAAGCUUUUGGAACUUUCCCUUGUCAGGAAAAGGACCCCUCAGUUUCCUGGCUCCAUCUAUGCUCAGUCCCCAAGCGACCCUGAUGUGGGUUCUUCUCUGCCUCCUCUGCGCACUCUGUUUCAAUCAAGUGCUCUCAGCGAUGAUGAUGAUGAUGAUGAUGAUGAGGAGGAGGAGAUGGUCAUGCGGGCUCUUCAGAUUCGCAGGAAGGUGACUGAGGAGGUUCUAAAAGAAGCUAUGCGAAAAGGAAAGUUUGGAAUCACAUACACUACCAAUUUGGUUAGCAGGGUGCCUGGUUUCAUCGAUUACAUCAUGAUUGAAGCUGCUAACUUGAAAAGGUUACAGGAAUAUUCACACUCCACCUUCAAUUUACGCGCCAAAACCGUCAUUGAUGAUUCCCAAGUUGUGCCACUUAUCAGAUGGUUGAAGCAUAAUGCACUGUCGUAUCCUCAGAUAGCAAAGCUCAUUUUGAUGUCAAGAGGAAAACUUGAGUCCAUAAGGAAUUGUGUUGAGUGGUUGAAGUCGGUGCAUGUGAAAGGAGAAUAUCUUGGGCUUUCACUCUUGAAGGGUGGAGAGAAUAUUUUGCAACGCAGCAAUGAGGAGCUGGAUGAGAUUGUUUUGUAUUUAGAGUCCAAUGGAGUCAGGAGGGAGUGGAUGGGUUAUGUCAUGAGUCGAUGUCCUCAAUUGUUGUCUUACAGCUUAGAAGAAGUGAAGAAUCGUGCGCAGUUCUAUUUUGAUAUGGGUUUAAAUGAGAAGGAUUUUGGCACAAUGGUUUUUGAUUAUCCUAAAGCACUUGGUUACUUUACUCUGGAAGUAAUGAACCAAAAGGUUAAUUACUUAAAAGAAUUUGGGCUUCAAAGCAAUGAUGUUGGCAGAUUGCUAGCAUUUAGGCCACAAUUGAUGGGGUGCAGCAUUGAGGAACAAUGGAAACCUCUUGUUAAGUAUCUGUACUAUUAUGGGAUCACCCGAGAUGGUAUGCGGAGAAUGCUUACCAUUAAACCAAUGGUCUUUUGUACAGACUUGCAAAUGACUAUUGCGCCAAAGGUACGGUUUUUUCAGGACAUAGGGGUUCGAGAUGAUGCAAUUGGCAACAUGCUUGUAAAGUUUCCUACUCUACUCACUUACAGCCUGUACAAGAAGAUUAGACCAGUGGUUAUAUUCUUGAUGACCAAAGCUGGGGUAAGUGAGAAAGAUAUUGGCAAGGUUGUAGCUCUUGGACCUGAGCUCUUGGGAUGCAGCGUAGUACAUAAGCUUGAAGUAAAUGUAAAAUAUUUUUUGUCGCUUGGCAUACGUAUUAAGCAAUUGGGUGAGAUGAUUGCUGAUUUCCCGAUGCUGCUCAGAUACAAUAUAGAUGUCCUUUGUCCCAAGUAUAGUUAUUUGCGGAAAACCAUGGUCCGGCCUUUGCAAGAUGUUAUUGAGUUUCCAAGGUUUUUCAGCUAUUCUCUUGAUGGUCGAAUUAUCCCAAGACACAAGGUUCUGGUGGAGAAUCAGAUUAAUAUUAAGCUAAGAUACAUGUUGGCUAGCUCUGAUGAAGAAUUCAAGAAAAUGGUCAAUUCUACAAUUAGAAAGCGCCAAAGAUUUGAACCUGCUGUCAUUAAGGAGGGUACUACUCAUCUUCAAUCUGGUAUUGCUGGGGAUAUUACUACACCCCAGACAUGUACAAAUUGAUGGCUCUGUGGAAAACAGAAUGGUGGUUGAGUUUAUGGGAAUUAGAGCAAUAUAGUAAUUGUUCUUCUCAAAGAUGGAGGUGCUAAAUGACAUUGUAGCAGCUGAUAUAGUGCAGAAACACCUUCAUGUGUAAAUGAAGGAAAAAGAGCUCCUGUGCCUUAAUAAACAGAAAGAAGCUUGCAAUUUGUCAUCCGCUGCCUCAUUUCACUAGUAAAGCCAAUGAAACUUGCUUACCAAAAAAAAAAAAAGCCAAUGAAACUUACCUCUACAGAGUGCAGACUAAGUUUUAUCAGAUGAGGAGACCUGACCUGUAUACUUCUUGUAAAUCUCUAGGAUAGUUUGAGGAGUAGACGUAAAUUUGACUGUUGUGCAACUGAAUAAUCUCAGUCUGAACAUGUAAUCACCUAUGAAGUUUGGUUUGAAUCCUGUUGGAUCCAUAUUGGCUGAAGACCCAUGGUCCUACCAUUGCAAGAUACCAUUCCCAAGGCAGAUUAUUUGUAAAAAUAUCCUUAAAAAAAAAGCUAUUA